UACGUAGGGUGCGAGCGUUAAUCGGAAUUACUGGGCGUAAAGCGUGCGCAGGCGGUUAUGUAAGACAGAUGUGAAAUCCCCGGGCUCAACCUGGGAACUGCAUUUGUGACUGCAUGACUGGAGUGCGGCAGAGGGGGAUGGAAUUCCGCGUGUAGCAGUGAAAUGCGUAGAUAUGCGGAGGAACACCGAUGGCGAAGGCAAUCCCCUGGGCCUGCACUGACGCUAAUGCACGAAAGCGUGGGGAGCAAACAGGAUUAGAUACCCUGGUAGUCCACGCCCUAAACGAUGUCAACUGGUUGUUGGACGGCUUGCUGUUCAGUAACGAAGCUAACGCGUGAAGUUGACCGCCUGGGGAGUACGGCCGCAAGGUUGAA
rnacentral:rRNA from 1 species